CUCUGCUUCUGGCAUCUGAGCUGAGCUGUUGACCCACACGCUGGAUGCUGCGGGCGGAAACUAAAAUGAUUACAUCUUGCUUACCGUGCUCAGCCUCCGCGAGAGAGCUGGGCGGGGAGGAGGAGGCGCCCCCGGAAGGACCGGCAGAUGAAGAAAUAGAGGUUCAGAGGGCUUCAGGACUUGUCCCAGGUCCCUCAGGGACCGUGGCAGGAUUUGACCCCCAGCGGGUGUCUCCGGG